rnacentral:rRNA from 1 species
UACGUAGGGUGCGAGCGUUAAUCGGAAUUACUGGGCGUAAAGUGUGCGCAGGCGGCCGCGCAAGUCGAGUGUGAAAGCCCCGGGCUUAACUUGGGAAUUGCGCUCGAAACUACGUGGCUGGAGUGUGGCAGAGGAAGGUGGAAUUCCACGUGUAGCGGUGAAAUGCGUAGAGAUGUGGAGGAACACCGAUGGCGAAGGCAGCCUUCUGGGCCAACACUGACGCUCAUGCACGAAAGCGUGGGGAGCAAACAGGAUUAGAAACCCCAGUAGUCC